CUCGCACGUCUCGCCAGGUCUUCCAGAUCACCAAGGACAUGAUCUGCGCCGUCGCCGAGGGCACCGACUCCGCCCCCGUGAGUAGCCUCUGCCCAACCACUCACUCGCACACACGUCUCGCCAGGUCUUCCAGAUCACCAAGGACAUGAUCUGCGCCGUCGCCGAGGGCACCGACUCCGCCCCCGUGAGUAGCCUCUGCCCAACCACUCACUCGCACACACGUCUCGCCAGGUCUUCCAGAUCACCAAGGACAUGAUCUGCGCCGUCGCCGAGGGCACCGACUCCGCCCCCGGCGACUCCGGCGGCCCGCUGGUGCUGCUGGAAGGCCCCCGGCACCUGCAGGUGGGGGUCGUGUCCUGGGGCACCGGCACGGGACAGGUCAGCGACCCCGGCAUCUACACCAAGGUGUCCGAGUACCGCGUGUGGAUCCACGGCAAGACCGGGGUGUAGCGCCCCACUUCCUCCGCCGCACACACGCAUAGCUGCCUGAGAAACACCACAACAACGGUCCACUGGCAAAACAACGCCCUAUAGCACAGAGAUGUAACCACGUCAGCCAAACACUGUCACCUGACCAAAUAAAUAUCUGUUCAAACUUA